rnacentral:rRNA from 1 species
CCUACGGGAGGCAGCAGUGGGGAAUAUUGCACAAUGGGGGAAACCCUGAUGCAGCCAUGCCGCGUGUGUGAAGAAGGCCUUCGGGUUGUAAAGCACUUUCAGCGAGGAGGAAAGGUUGGCGCCUAAUACGUGUCAACUGUGACGUUACCGACAGAAUAAGCACCGGCUAACUCUGUGCCAGCAGCCGCGGUAAU